rnacentral:rRNA from 1 species
UGAGGAAUAUUGGUCAAUGGACGGAAGUCUGAACCAGCCAUGCCGCGUGAAGGAUGAAGGCGUUCUGCGUUGUAAACUUCUUUUAUUUGAGAAGAAACCACUGAUUUCUAUUAGUGUUGACGGUAUCAGAUGAAUAAGCACCGGCUAACUCCGUGCCAGCAGCCGCGGUAAUACGGAGGGUGCAAGCGUUAUCCGGAUUUACUGGGUUUAAAGGGUGUGUAGGCGGACUUUUAAGUCAGGGGUGAAAUCUCCGAGCUCAACUCGGAAACUGCCUUUGAUACUAUUAGUCUUGAAUUAUGUUGAGGUUGGCGGAAUAUAACAUGUAGCGGUGAAAUGCAUAGAUAUGUUAUAGAACACCGAUUGCGAAGGCAGCUGGCUAAACAUAUAUUGACGCUGAGGCACGAAAGCGUGGGUAGCGAACAGG